rnacentral:rRNA from 1 species
CAGCGCCGCGGUAAUACAGAGGGUGCGAGCGUUAAUCGGAUUUACUGGGCGUAAAGCGUGCGUAGGCGGCUUCUUAAGUCGGAUGUGAAAUCCCUGAGCUUAACUUAGGAAUUGCAUUCGAUACUGGGAAGCUAGAGUAUGGGAGAGGAUGGUAGAAUUCCAGGUGUAGCGGUGAAAUGCGUAGAGAUCUGGAGGAAUACCGGUGGCGAAGGCGGCCCCCUGGACAAAGACUGACGCUCAGGUGCGAAAGCGUGGGGAGCAAACAGGAUUAGAUACCCCCGUAGUCCCUGUCUCUUAUACA